GAACUUAAGCAUAUCAAUAAGCGGAGGAAAAGAAACCAACAGGGAUUGCCCUAGUAACGGCGAGUGAAGCGGCAACAGCUCAAAUUUGAAAUCUGGCCCCCGGGUCCGAGUUGUAAUUUGUAGAGGAUGCUUUUGGUGCGGUACCUUCCGAGUUCCCUGGAACGGGACGCCAUAGAGGGUGAGAGCCCCGUCUGGUUGGACGCCAAUCCUUUGUAAAGCUCCUUCAACGAGUCGAGUAGUUUGGGAAUGCUGCUCUAAAUGGGAGGUAUAUGUCUUCUAAAGCUAAAUAUUGGCCAGAGACCGAUAGCGCACAAGUAGAGUGAUCGAAAGAUGAAAAGCACUUUGAAAAGAGAGUUAAAAAGUACGUGAAAUUGUUGAAAGGGAAGCGCUCAUGACCAGACUUGGGCUUGGUUGAUCAUCCAGGGUUCUCCCUGGUGCACUCUUCCGGCCCAGGCCAGCAUCAGUUCGCUGUGGGGGAUAAAGGCUUCGGGAAUGUGGCUCCCUCGGGAGUGUUAUAGCCCGUUGUGUAAUACCCUGUGGUGGACUGAGGUUCGCGCAUCGCAAGA
rnacentral:rRNA from 1 species